UACGGAGGGUGCAAGCGUUAUCCGGAUUCACUGGGUUUAAAGGGUGCGUAGGUGGGCAGGUAAGUCAGUGGUGAAAUCUCCGAGCUUAACUCGGAAACUGCCGUUGAUACUAUCUGUCUUGAAUGUCGUGGAGGCAGGCGGAAUAUGUCAUGUAGCGGUGAAAUGCUUAGAUAUGACAUAGAACACCAAUUGCGAAGGCAGCUUGCUACACGAUGAUUGACGCUGAGGCACGAAAGCGUGGGGAUCAAACAGG
rnacentral:rRNA from 1 species